UACGGAGGGGGCUAGCGUUGUUCGGAAUUACUGGGCGUAAAGCGCACGUAGGCGGCUUUGCAAGUUAGAGGUGAAAGCCCGGGGCUCAACUCCGGAAUUGCCUUUAAAACUGCAUCGCUAGAAUUGUGGAGAGGUAAGUGGAAUUCCGAGUGUAGAGGUGAAAUUCGUAGAUAUCCGGAAGAACACCGGUGGCGAAGGCGGUCUGCUGGGCAGUUGCUGACACUGAGGCGCGACAGCGUGGGGAGCAAACAGG
rnacentral:rRNA from 1 species